rnacentral:rRNA from 1 species
GACGAACGCUGGCGGCGUGCUUAACACAUGCAAGUCGAGCGGUAAGGCCUUUCGGGGUCCACGAGCGGCGAACGGGUGAGUAACACGUGGGUGAUCUGCCCUGCACUUCGGGAUGAGCCUGGGAAACUGGGUCUAAUACCGGAUAUGACCUCCUAUCGCAUGGUGGGUGGUGGAAAGAUUUAUCGGUGCAGGAUGGGCCCGCGGCCUAUCAGCUUGUUGGUGGGGUAAUGGCCUACCAAGGCGACGACGGGUAGCCGACCUGAGAGGGUGACCGGCCACACUGGGACUGAGACACGGCCCAGACUCCUACGGGAGGCAGCAGUGGGGAAUAUUGCACAAUGGGCGAAAGCCUGAUGCAGCGACGCCGCGUGAGGGAUGACGGCCUUCGGGUUGUAAACCUCUUUCAGCAGGGACGAAGCGCAAGUGACGGUACCUGCAGAAGAAGCACCGGCUAACUACGUG